rnacentral:sRNA from 1 species
UUUUAGCCCCGGGAGUAGCGGCAUCCUUUGCUUUUUUUCUUUAGAAAAGCAAAGAUAUAGCGAAUCACGGGACCAUUG